UGUCUACCUUUUUGUUGUGCGCGA
rnacentral:piRNA from 2 species